rnacentral:rRNA from 1 species
CUGAGAAGCGAAAGCAUGGGGAGCGAACAGGAUUAGAUACCCUGGUAGUCCAUGCCGUAAACGUUGGGAACUAGGUGUGGGUCUCAUUCCACGAGAUCCGUGCCGCAGCUAACGCAUUAAGUUCCCCGCCUGGGGAGUACGGCCGCAAGGCUAAAACUCAAAGGAAUUGACGGGGGCCCGCACAAGCGGCGGAGCAUGCGGAUUAAUUCGAUGCAACGCGAAGAACCUUACCAAGGCUUGACAUACACCGGAAUCACUCAGAGAUGGGUGCGUCUUCGGACUGGUGUACAGGUGGUGCAUGGUUGUCGUCAGCUCGUGUCGUGAGAUGUUGGGUUAAGUCCCGCAACGAGCGCAACCCUCGUUCUAUGUUGCCAGCACGUGAUGGUGGGGACUCAUAGGAGACUGCCGGGGUCAACUCGGAGGAAGGUGGGGAUGACGUCAAAUCAUCAUGCCCCUUAUGUCUUGGGCUUCACGCAUGCUACAAUGGCCGGUACAAAGGGCUGCGAAACCGCGAGGUGGAGCGAAUCCCAAAAAACCGGUCUCAGUUCGG